UAAAUAGCCCGUAUUUCUUUGGAAGUACGCUGGCUUCUUAGAGGGACUAUCGGCUCAAGCCGAUGGAAGUUUGAGGCAAUAACAGGUCUGUGAUGCCCUUAGAUGUUCUGGGCCGCACGGUAAGCUUUUUUUUCCAUCUGAAACUUUUUUUAAGAAAAUCUACUAACUUUUUAUAUAGCGCGCUACACUGACAAAGCCAGCGAGUAUUUUCCU
rnacentral:rRNA from 1 species